AAUAGAUACCCCGGUAGUCCACGCCAUAAAACGAUGAGUGCUAAGUGUUAGGGGGGUUUCCGCCCCUUAGUGCUGCAGCUAACGCAUUAAGCACUCCGCCUGGGGAGUACGGUCGCAAGACUGAAACUCAAAGGAAUUGACGGGGGCCCGCACAAGCGGUGGAGCAUGUGGCUUAAUUCGAAGCAACGCGAAGAACCUUACCAGGUCUUGACAUCCCACUGACCGCUAUGGAGACAUAGUUUUCCCUUCGGGGACAGUGGUGACAGGUGGUGCAUGGUUGUCGUCAGCUCGUGUCGUGAGAUGUUGGGUUAAGUCCCGCAACGAGCGCAACCCUUGAUCUUAGUUGCCAUCAUUUAGUUGGGCACGUCUAAGGUGACUGCCGGUGACAAACCGGAGGAAGGUGGGGAUGACGUCAAAUCAUCAUGCCCCUUAUGACCUGGGCUACACACGUGCUACAAUGGACGGUACAAACGGUUGCCAACCCGCGAGGGGGAGCUAAUCCGAUAAAACCGUUCUCAGUUCGGAUUGUAGGCUGCAACUCGCCUAC
rnacentral:rRNA from 1 species